UGUCUGCCCCAAGUUCUCCUUCUGUAGCAGUUUUAUAAAUGCUAUAGUUUAUGAAUCAUAUAAUAGUGUUUAUUUCAUUUUGCUAUUAUAAAAUGCACAUUAUAGUUAAAAGUAAAAAAAAAAUUAUAAGGAAAAUUAAUUUAUAAUUAAAAUGAAAUAAUUUUUAUUGAUAAAUUAAAAUCAGCUUACAGAAUUUCUGGUUUACAAAACUAAACCAAAAUUUAAAAAUAAAGUUAACCAAAUAAACCUCAACUAAACCAGAGAAACCUAAACUAAACCAAAAACCUAAACCUAAUCCUCUUUGCCGUCAAUGAUUCAUCUCCGCCGUCAAUCUCAGCAAGCGUCCUCCUCCUUCAAGCUCAGCCUGCCUUUACCGCUCUCAAUCUUGCCACACCGGAGCUUCUUCUUAGGCGGUUGGCCACUACUGCACCACCGCCAAUGUAACUGCUACUCGCCUUGAACACCAAUCUUCUCAGCCGUAACACCAACAAACACCAUCUUCUUCUGCCUCAUCAACUUCCUUUACCAAAACAAAGAUAAAAUGAGAAUCAAAACACAGGAGACGACGGAGAGGAGUUGGAGAGAGAGAGAGAGAGAGAGUUGACGACAGAGAGGAGUUGGAGACGAGGUGGAUACAGGUGAUGAAUGAGACCACCGUUACGCUCCGCUACUCACCACCACGAGCACCACUGCGUUUGGUUUGUUGUUGCUGCGUCUCCGGGCACGAGAGAGAGAAAGGUGACGACGGAGACAAGGUGGAGACGGGUAAUGAUUGAGUCCACCGUCAAGCUUCAACACGAGCACCAAUGUUAGAUCUGUAAAAUGUGAAGGAGAAGAGAAGGUUCGUGAGGAUGCAGAGGCAAGAAAGAGAAGCGAAGUAAAGAAACUUAGUGGAGAAGAAAGGAUAACAAAGAAGAAGAGGAAAAGAAAAGCAAAAAAAAAAUGAAAAAAAUGAUAAGUAUUUGUGUCCAUUAGUCGGAGAUGAGAUCUGAAACCUUCGUAAAAUUUUUGUUCACUCCACCGCGAAGAAGAAUUGACGUGUACAAACAAAAUAAGUAGAUUGGUUAUUAAGUUUUUUUCAGUUUAUGACAUGUCAAUUUAUCAGUCAUUUUAAAAGCUGAAGUGCCUUGUUUUUCCUAGAACUAUGCUCUAUUAUUGUGUUGAUUUUUAUUACAUAGAUUACAUUUCUGUUUCUGCCUUUUCAAAAUUAAUAUAUCUAUUGUUGGUUCGAUAGAAGC
rnacentral:lncRNA from 1 species